AUGAAGAGUAAAAUCCGAAAAGUUAACAAAAAGAGCAAACAUGGACAUUGUCGACAAACAUUGGUACACCCGAGGAGACCAUGGAGAACCCAAGGACCAAGGCCAAGCGUGCGCGGAAGCGAAGGAAGGAGAAGGAAAAAGAGACAGCUACUACAGGCCUCGGACAUCCGGCCCCAGCCCGGACAUCCGGCCCGACCCCCGGAAAUCCGGCGCCCAUCACAGAAGACACCCGAAGCUGAACCAAGUCAGCCCGGACAUCCGGCCCCCAGGCCCGGACAUCCGGCCCGUCGUGAGCCGCCGGACAUCCGGCCCAGCUCCCGGAAAUCCGGUGCCCCAUCAUAG
rnacentral:rRNA from 1 species